GGUUGGUGUAUCAUCCCCGAUGAU
rnacentral:siRNA from 1 species